AAUAUAAAUUUAUCCCGAGAAAUGAUCUACUGAGUAGCUAGGCUGCAAAAUUUAGACUUGACCCGGCGUACUCAAGCCCAAAGCUUCGCCACCGUUGCAACCGCGUAUUGACCUUUUGGGGAAAAAACCCGUGCGUUUGUAUCGAUUUGUUCGUAUAAAAACCGGCUUGCACUGCAUGCGACUACCGCCGGGAUGUCGUGAAAAUUGUAUACGUUUCAUAACCUGUUGUUUUCUUUUCUAAAUCAGAAUACAAAAUAUGUUACGACUGAUG